rnacentral:siRNA from 1 species
GAUGGCCGAGAAUCAGGGCUCUGA